UACGUAGGGUGCGAGCGUUAAUCGGAAUUACUGGGCGUAAAGCGUGUGCAGGCGGUUUGUUAAGACAGGUGUGAAAUCCCCGGGCUUAACCUGGGAAUUGCGCUUGUUACUGGCAGACUAGAGUGCGUCAGAGGGAGGUGGAAUUCCACGUGUAGCAGUGAAAUGCGUAGAGAUGUGGAGGAACACCCGUGGCGAAGGCGGCCAUCUGGACCAGCACUGACGCUGAGGCACGAAAGCGUGGGGGAGCAAACAGG
rnacentral:rRNA from 1 species